rnacentral:misc_RNA from 1 species
CAGUAACUUUGCUUAUAAAAUACCGUCUUGUGUGAUUAAAUGGUGCAAAAACAAUACCAAAGUAAACAAAAAAUCUGAAGGAAUAUCGUUUCACACGUUUCCAACGAAUAUUUUAAUAAGAGGUGAAUGGGUAGCGGCUGCGAGACUGAGAAAAUGACCACGAUUAUGCUGGCCAUGCGCAUAAAGUCAAUUUAAUACGAUUAGUGAUUGAAAAAUAUUUGAACA